AUUGAACGCUGGCGGCAGGCUUAACACAUGCAAGUCGAGCGGAGACGAGGUGCUUGCACCUUAUCUUAGCGGCGGACGGGUGAGUAAUGCUUAGGAAUCUGCCUAUUAGUGGGGGACAACAUUCCGAAAGGAAUGCUAAUACCGCAUACGUCCUACGGGAGAAAGCAGGGGAUCUUCGGACCUUGCGCUAAUAGAUGAGCCUAAGUCGGAUUAGCUAGUUGGUGGGGUAAAGGCCUACCAAGGCGACGAUCUGUAGCGGGUCUGAGAGGAUGACCCGCCACACUGGGACUGAGACACGGCCCAGACGCCUACGGGAGGUAGCAGUGGGGAAUAUUGGACAAUGGGGGGAACCCUGAUCCAGCCAUGCCGCGUGUGUGAAGAAGGCCUUAUGGUUGUAAAGCACUUUAAGCGAGGAGGAGGCUACUGAGACUAAUACUCUUGGAUAGUGGACGUUACUCGCAGAAUAAGCACCGGCUAACUCUGUGCCAGCCGCCGCCGUAACAC
rnacentral:rRNA from 1 species